AAUAUGUUUGUAUAUAUAUGGGAAACGUAGUCCCCAGUUAAUGGCUGGAGCAAGUUCCCAAUCAGUAACUCCUCACACAACACCAUCUUUUCUUUUGGAUCCACCACAGAAUGCAAACGCGCAGUUAUUUCCGGGGCUACAGAUUGGCAGGAAACCAACCAUGUGCCUAGCCCUAGAGAGUCUCAGAUGCGUGGCUGUAGUUUCUCAUUACUGAGAAAAAAGAACUCUGCGCGUCCUCAGAGGUGCCGUCUUUAUUAAUCCGCCACAUAUUCCUGCGUUGACCUAUGGGAUUUUUUUUAAAGGCUGCAGGUACAGAGCAUGGUAAUCAGUCACUAGCUUAAGUUAAGCCGAAAUGGAAAUCUCUCGUCUCGUCUACAUUCUUCUCGACGAUCUUUCUUCUUCCAAGCCAAUGGUUCCUGCAUCAUAAAGAGAAGGCGGGAAUCUGAAACGGUUCGUUAACUGAGGAACCCUUUCUCAGUGAGUAGCCCAGAAGUCCACCUCGAUUGGAAGCCACGCCCGAAAACUCAAGUCUUUUGCCCGCUCAUCGCAAGACUCCGGGGCUAAAACCCAAGGUCCGUUCAGCUCAGCAUUGCCACCCAGUGGCCAACGAAACCCAUAACACUCAGUCGAUCUUUCCCCAAAAGAUGUUGGCUGAGGCGUUGUUUGCUGUGCGUGCCCAGCCCCAAAUAAGGAAUUUUAAAGUUAAAACUUAAAACAAGAUACACAGACUUGUAGGCGUUUGAAAGAGCUGUUCCCCAAGGGCCUGCCUGAGCAAUUUAUAGUAACCGUUCCAUAUUUACAUCUGGAGUGCCUAUUAGCAAUCUGCAAGUCCCAUAGGUGGUUAAGAGGCAAUUCACAGACUGCUUAUUUCUGCCCUACAAACAUCCCAGCCCUUCAGGACACCUAUGAACUGAUGUAUUAGAACAGUAAAAGUGUGAGUUCACGCCACAAUAACUGUAAAUUACUCAGGAGUGAGCCCAGCUGAAUUCCAUGAGGAAUGCUUCCUGAACAUGGGUAAGGUAGAGGGAUAUUAAGUGGCCAAGGACCUGAGAGACCAGGGCUAAAAUCACCAUUUGGUCAUGAAGUUCACUUGGAGGAAACAUGGAACGGAUGCAAACUCA